UACGAAGGGGGCUAGCGUUGCUCGGAAUCACUGGGCGUAAAGGGCGCGUAGGCGGCGUUUUAAGUCGGGGGUGAAAGCCUGUGGCUCAACCACAGAAUGGCCUUCGAUACUGGGACGCUUGAGUAUGGUAGAGGUUGGUGGAACUGCGAGUGUAGAGGUGAAAUUCGUAGAUAUUCGGAAGAACACCAGUGGCGAAGGCGACACACUGGGCCAUUACUGACGCUGAGGCGCGAAAGCGUGGGGAGCAAACAGG
rnacentral:rRNA from 1 species